ACGAACGCUGGCGGCGUGCUUAACACCUGCAAGUCGAACGGAAAGGCCCCGCUUUUGUGGGGUGCUCGAGUGGCGAACGGGUGAGUAACACGUGAGUAACCUGCCCUUGACUUUGGGAUAACUUCAGGAAACUGGGGCUAAUACCGGAUAGGAGCUCCUGCUGCAUGGUGGGGGUUGGAAAGUUUCGGCGGUUGGGGAUGGACUCGCGGCUUAUCAGCUUGUUGGUGGGGUAGUGGCUUACCAAGGCUUUGACGGGUAGCCGGCCUGAGAGGGUGACCGGCCACAUUGGGACUGAGAUACGGCCCAGACUCCUACGGGAGGCAGCAGUGGGGAAUAUUGCACAGUGGGCGGAAGCCUGAUGCAGCAACGCCGCGUGCGGGAUGACGGCCUUCGGGUUGUAAACCGCUUUCGCCUGUGACGAAGCGUGAGUGACGGUAAUGGGUAAAGAAGCACCGGCUAACUACGUG
rnacentral:rRNA from 1 species